ACGAAGCACAUACGGCGGAACUUUUCGGACCUUAAGAUGUAUGUGACUGAGUGGCGGACGGGUGAGUAACGCGUGGGUAACCUGCCCCAUAGAGGGGGACAACAUUUGGAAACGACUGCUAAUACCGCAUAAGAAAGAAUUGCCGCAUGGCAGUUUUUUGAAAGAUUUAUCGCUAUGGGAUGGACCCGCGUCUGAUUAGCUAGUUGGGAGGGUAACGGCCUACCAAGGCAACGAUCAGUAGCCGGCUUGAGAGAGUGAACGGCCACAUUGGGACUGAGACACGGCCCAGACUCCUACGGGAGGCAGCAGUGGGGAAUAUUGCACAAUGGGGGAAACCCUGAUGCAGCGACGCCGCGUGAGUGAAGAAGUAUUUCGGUAUGUAAAGCUCUAUCAUCAGGGAAGAAACCCACCCUCCGGGGUGGCUGACGGUACCUGACUAAGAAGCCCCGGCUAAACUACGUGCCAGCAGCCGCGGUAAUACGUAGGGGGCAAGCGUUAUCCGGAUUUACUGGGUGUAAAGGGAGCGUAGGUGGCAAGGCAAGUCAGAUGUGAAAACCCGGGGCCCAACCCCGGGAGUGCAUCCCCCCCUGUCUGGCUAGAGUGCAGGAGAGGUAAGUGGAAUUCCUAGUGUAGCGGUGAAAUGCA
rnacentral:rRNA from 1 species